GCUCUUCGAUAUAUUACCCGCCUUGGUGCCAAUCUUGGAAAAGGAUAAUGUCAGAUCUUUCCUUCGCUUCUUCAAUGAGAAUGGAAGGGCCAUGUCUUGGGGUUUCAUCAUCACGCCAGAAACUUUAAACCAGAUAAUCAUGUAUAAUGCAGUGCGAUGUGCCAAAGUUGUCUUGGUUGGUGAUGAUCCUGAGCUUCAUGGUUUCCGAGCCAAUCCCAACUGCAUGACACGAUAUGGGUACUUUUCCCUCCACCGAGCUGCUGAUAUGUUCUCUGUUGAUAUGAUUGAGUUGCUCUUGCGCCAUGGUGCGUCUGCCAAUGUUGCACAUCUGGUGAUCUAGUCCCUGCUGGCCUACUCCCACUCCAUGUUGCGGUUGAGAACACUUCCAUGCAUAAGUACCUUGAGGACAGUCUAAAUCCUAGUCAACAGCGUGUGGACUGCAGCCAGGCAGACAUCAACUAUAUCCUCAAGCUCAUCCACAUCCUGUGCCUACCCGAAAUGAAAAUCUUCUUUGAUACAACUAGGCUGCUAGCCAAACACACAGAUGAUCUGUUAGAUGAGCUCUGCAAGUACAUAGUAGAUGGGAAGAUCGUCCAUACGGCUGUUUUGCUCCUAGCAGCUCAAAAGCAGAUCCGCGGGCUAUCUUCCUGCAAUGGAUGUGGGAGUAGUAAGAAAGAUGGGUUUGGUACUAUCACUAACUUUGUCGUGGACAACAUUACUGCUAUAAAGAUGCGCCAAAACAGACUGGAAAUGGAGCCACUAGAGGUGAAAAAGGAGCUUCUUGAUGUUACAUUGAAUCUUGUUCAUGUAAUUUUCAAAGCUGGGCUCUUGAUGUUUACAUAAGGUCUCAUCCAAAGAUUCCCUGUGUCAUGGAAGUGGCCCAUGCGGAGGUCUUUGAACAUGUUACGCUCAUUCUGAAGGAUCAUGGAUUUUUUUUCUAUUGGAGAUGGCAUAGACAUUGGAAAUCU